rnacentral:rRNA from 1 species
GACGAACGCUGGCGGCGUGCUUAACACAUGCAAGUCGAACGGAAAGGCCCUGCUUUUGUGGGGUGCUCGAGUGGCGAACGUGUGAGUAACACGUGAGUAACCUGCCCUUGACUUUGGGAUAACUUCAGGAAACUGGGGCUAAUACCGGAUAGGAGCUCCUGCUGCAUGGUGGGGGUUGGAAAGUUUCGGCGGUUGGGGAUGGACUCGCGGCUUAUCAGCUUGUUGGUGGGGUAGUGGCUUACCAAGGCUUUGACGGGUAGCCGGCCUGAGAGGGGGACCGGCCACAUUGGGACUGAGAUACGGCCCAGACUCCUACGGGAGGCAGCAGUGGGGAAUAUUGCACAAUGGGCGGAAGCCUGAUGCAGCAACGCCGCGUGCGGGAUGAAGGCCUUCGGGUUGUAAACCGCUUUCGCCUGUGACGAAGCGUGAGUGACGGUAAUGAGUAAAGAAGCACCGGCUAACUACGUG